CGGUUCGCCUUGUUUGAUGAAUUCAUAGUCAAACGAGGCGAACCGGGGGAACUGAAACAUCUCAGUACCCCGAGGAAAAGAAAUCAACCGAGAUUCCCCCAGUAGCGGCGAGCGAACGGGGAGCAGCCCAGAGUCAACAUCAAUACUUACCGCAGGAGAAGGGUCUGGAAAGGCCAGCAAUAAAGGGUGAUAGCCCCGUAUCUGAAACGGUAAGUAUUGUGAACUCGAAGAGUAGGGCGGGACACGUGUUAUCCUGUCUGAAUAUGGGGGGACCAUCCUCCAAGGCUAAAUACUCCUGACUGACCGAUAGUGAACCAGUACCGUGAGGGAAAGGCGAAAAGAACCCCGGCGAGGGGAGUGAAAUAGAACCUGAAACCGUGUACGUACAAGCAGUGGGAGCACCCGAAAGGGUGUGACUGCGUACCUUUUGUAUAAUGGGUCAGCGACUUAUAUUCUGUAGCAAGGUUAACCGCAUAGGGGAGCCGUAGGGAAACCGAGUCUUAACUGGGCGUUAAGUUGCGGGGUAUAGACCCGAAACCCGGUGAUCAGCCCCUGGACCG
rnacentral:rRNA from 1 species